rnacentral:rRNA from 1 species
UACGAAGGGGGCUAGCGUUGUUCGGAAUCACUGGGCGUAAAGGGCGCGUAGGCGGCUUUAUAAGUCGGGGGUGAAAGCCUGUGGCUCAACCACAGAAUUGCCUUCGAUACUGUAGAGCUUGAGACCGGAAGAGGUAAGUGGAACUGCGAGUGUAGAGGUGAAAUUCGUAGAUAUUCGCAGGAACACCAGUGGCGAAGGCGGCUUACUGGUCCGGUUCUGACGCUGAGGCGCGAAAGCGUGGGGAGCAAACAGG